rnacentral:rRNA from 1 species
UACAGAGGUCCCAAGCGUUGUUCGGAUUCACUGGGCGUAAAGGGUGCGUAGGUGGCUGGGUAAGUUUGAUGUGAAAUCUCCGGGCUUAACCCGGAAAUGGCAUUGAAUACUAUUCGGCUAGAGGUUUGGAGGGGGGACUGGAAUUCUCGGUGUAGCAGUGAAAUGCGUAGAUAUCGAGAGGAACACCAGUGGCGAAGGCGAGUCCCUGGACAAACACCUGACACUGAGGCACGAAAGCUAGGGGAGCAAAACAGG